rnacentral:ncRNA from 2 species
ACACGGCUUUAGGGGUGUUCCGAAAAUAGGAACUGAGAUAAUACCCUUUGAACCUGAUCCAGGUCAUACUGGCGAAGGGAAAAGUAAUGCUGCAAUC